UUAUAGAGUAACAUAAAAAACGGAGUACACCAUUAUAUAUGAACAAUAACAAGAAGACAACUUUAUUUUGUGCAAUUCCCAAAUCAAGCUGAGAAUGGCAUGAAUCAUUGAACAACAGAUUCAUUUACAAAUUGCAUUCGAAUAUCUAAGUCACAAAAGAGAUCUAGAGAAGGAAUAACCAUGUUGUACGAGGAGAGAGUCUCCCCGACAUUCUUAACUGCAUAUGCAUCAUAGAGUUUCCUUGUUUGAUUCAGACUAACUGUAUAUAUGUCUGAUUCUAUGAGAAGAACGCAAAAAAUUGUAAGAAGAAUACGAUCAAGAGACAAAACAAAUGAUUAAGCACCAGAAUACUGGUUCGCAAAUAUCAGUGACCACGUCCGCGAUUGCUUGGCCCCGAACGAGCUUGCCUUAUAUUAAGUGUAACCCUUCUCCCAUUCAAAAGAGUGUCCUUGUGUAACAGGCCUCCCCUCAACGUGCAUGGUGUACGACAGCAAGAGGAAGAAGAUCAAUAUAGAAAUAGCAUUGAGAGCUAGUACAAAUGAACGGCACCUCAUUCUCUCUCUGGCUUAGCGUUAAUUAGGUAGGGGUGUAGUUAUUU
rnacentral:lncRNA from 1 species